rnacentral:rRNA from 1 species
UACGUAGGGCGCAAGCGUUAUCCGGAAUUAUUGGGCGUAAAGAGCUCGUAGGCGGUUUGUCGCGUCUGCCGUGAAAGUCCGGGGCUCAACUCCGGAUCUGCGGUGGGUACGGGCAGACUAGAGUGAUGUAGGGGAGACUGGAAUUCUGGUGUAGCGGUGAAAUGGCGCAGAUAUCAGGAGGAACACCGAUGGCGAAGGCAGGUCUCUGGGCAUUAACUGACGCUGAGGAGCGAAAGCAUGGGGAGCGAACAGG